rnacentral:rRNA from 1 species
GGGAGGACUGCCGGUGGAUAAACCGGAGGAAGGCGGGGAUGACGUCAAGUCCUCAUGGCCCUUACAUCCCGGGCUACACACGUGCUACAAUGGCAGGUACAGAGGGCUGCGAAGCCGCGAGGUGGAGCGAAUCCCAGAAAACCUGUCUCAGUCCGGAUUGAAGUCUGCAACUCGACUUCAUGAAGGCGGAAUCGCUAGUAACCGCGAAUCAGCAGGUCGCGGUGAAUACGUUCCCGGGCCUU